rnacentral:rRNA from 1 species
GACGAACGCUGGCGGCGUGCUUAACACAUGCAAGUCGAACGGUGAAGCGCCUUCCUUUUUGGUGGGUGUGGAUGAGUGGCGAACGGGUGAGUAACACGUGAGUAACCUGCCCCCUUCUUCUGGAUAACCGCAUGAAAGUGUGGCUAAUACGGGAUAUUCUGGGUCUGUCGCAUGAUGGGUCUGGGAAAGAUAUUGUUUCGGUGGGGGAUGGGCUCGCGGCCUAUCAGCUUGUUGGUGGGGUGAUGGCCUACCAAGGCGGUGACGGGUAGCCGGCCUGAGAGGGUGGACGGUCACACUGGGACUGAGACACGGCCCAGACUCCUACGGGAGGCAGCAGUGGGGAAUAUUGCACAAUGGGCGCAAGCCUGAUGCAGCGACGCCGCGUGAGGGAUGGAGGCCUGCGGGUUGUGAACCUCUUUCGCCAGUGGAGCAGGCCUGCCUCGUUUGUGGGUGGGUUGACGGUAGCUGGAGAAGAAGCGCCGGCUAACUACGUG